UUUUUUUGUUUUGUGUUUGUAAAAUUUUGCAGGAAGCAAAAGAUUGAGUAACAGAGAAAAGAUUUGACCAAUUGCUGCAGGUGAUACUGGACACACAUAUUUUCGAGAUAUUGGUGACAAUACCUGGAAUUAAGUAUGUUAUUGAUCCUGGACUGGUGAAAGCGUGAAGUACAUGCUUAUAUAUUUGUGCAAACCUGGUCCAUCCGGGGUAUAAGUUCUCCUUCAACUCAUCAACAUAUUCGUAUAGCAGUUUACAAGCUAUUGCCUUCUACCGGAGGAUACUUGUUUUUAUACCAAUUCUUAAAUCCCCGUGUUAUAGUCUCCAUUCUUGAGAAUGGAGACUGUAACACUCGGGGGUCUAAGGAUUGUAUAGAAACAAGUGUGCUAGAGGAGAAGGUAUAGCUUGUAAAAGGCUAUGCAACUAUGUGGAUGAAUUGAAGGAGGGUUUGUACCCAUGGAUUGACCAAGUUUGCAUAAAUAUAUGUGCAUGUAUUUCGUACAAGCUAUUGAUUUCCCAUAUUCGAAUCACUUCCCUCUCAGAAGCAAAUGAAGAUUUUCAUGCCUUCACCCGCAGGAUAUCGUAAGGUUGAUUUUUUUUCUUUUAAUGGUUUAUUUUUUGAAGUUUGAGAUGGAUGAAUUCACUGCUUUGUCUAUAUCCAGGGGUGCAAUUAGGUAGCUGUGUGAAAAUAUUACUUAAAUGAACUUCUUUUAUUGAAUUGUUCAGUAGAUAAUUUAAGAAUUGAGGUUAAUAUCCUCAUUUGGAAAAAAUUAAAUAAUUUGAACUCGAUAUCAUCUUGCAUCUAUCUGCCUGAAAACUCAAUAUCGAGUCGCAGUUCUAAAGGGAUAAUCCACUUGCCGAAUUACAUACAUAACUCAAUUGAAACAAAUGCUGGAUAACAAGGUUUAUUCACUUCACUUCAUGUGACUUUAAUAUGCUUUAAUUGGUAAUCCACUUUUACAUAAGCACAGUGCAUAUGUAGUAUAAGCUAAGAAUAUUUACGGGGAUGUACUUAUGAUUUGAAGAUUUAUAUUUCUUGGAUCUGUAUCUAAUACUUGGUUUCCGAAGAACAAGAUGAUAAAUAGUGAAGAGAAGGCAGUCACUCUCUAAAACAUGCUUGUAAUAUCCACAGGUGGGCAUAUGUACUUCAACUUCAAGGAAAAAUUAUUGAAAAUCUAUUCUGCUAUAUGAUUUUUUCCACUUCCACAGUUCUUUUGAUAAAAUGUUAUAUUCUUAUGUCCGUGCUUGUCAUAUUUCACUGUUAUACGACGAAUUUGCUUCUUCUCAUUUGCACUGAUUGUCCAAGUAUGUUAUAUUCUUAUGUCCGUGCUUGUCAAAUUCUGAGGAAUGUUGAAAAAAUGGGUCUUCGUGUCACUUCCUGUGAAGAUGACACACUUCUCCUCGUUUUUCCUUAAACUAGCUAUGGAGCAGCCUGACGGUGAAUACAGGUAAAGAUUUGAUAGGAUUUUUAUUUCGACUCAACUUUGCAAUAACAAAGUUAAUCUGUACUGGCAGGGUCACAUUAAGUAGUUUGAUAGUCCAAAUAUACACUUCUUCUGUCUUGUUCCGCACCAAGCCAGUGUGUAUAGUUUUAAUGAACUAGUCCAUCAUUAUGUACGUAAUGUUUCUAGAAUCGAUUACUUGUGCCUAGUUGAGCUGGCUCCUCACUUGUAUGCCGUGCAAGACUAAAUGUGUGCCUACUUUGGUUUUGCCAAUUUCUCAGUUCCAACAACCUGAUGAGAUCCAUCUGUGGCAUUCCAUACGAGUGUUCCUCGUUUAUACAUUGUGAAAUCAUUUGUCACUAUAUGAUUUUUGCUUCUCUCUGGGUUGACGUUGUCCAAACGUGCCCAAAACAGGAUUGAAAUUGUUGAAUGCAUAGAUGUAAGCACACUUUUUAUCUUGACAGGUAUGGUGUUGAAACUGUUUACGAGCUCUAUCCACUGUCUGCAGAGUUGAACGACGAUAUGAAGGAGAAGAAUGCUACUCUAUAAUCGAUAGAGAGUGCUUCUCCCCUCGUGAUUCGGAUUAGACGGGCUAGUAGGUUUCGGAUACACUGAUUCUAAUUCAUUAGAGUGACUCAAUCCUAGCAAGGGUAAACAAACAUUCGGUGAUUUCUUCUCAUAUGUCAAGUCUUGGGUGGACAGAACUACUCGGCAUUUGUGUCGGUGGAAGUUAACAUGAAAUUAGUCGAGCUGUGCUCAAACACCAAGGUCAUUCAUUAGAAAAAUAGUUAUAUGCAAAAUGUAAAGAUUGUAUUUUUUUUUAACUCAACCUUUUUCCUUUGGAGUUUUUUUUU